GAUCAGCCAAAAACACAUUAUAAUAAAUAAUAAUUUUAUUUUAAUUUUCUAUGUGUUGGAUAUCUUCUGUUUAUCAUUCUAGAUCUAUACCAUCCUCUUCUACCUUACUUCUUGCCUGGAGGCUGACCUGUAUGGACUAUAUCAGCAUGCUUGCCUUCUUGCGUCCAGCUGGAUUUUACCAAUGAGUACCUCUUGGCAGGAGAUUAGAGGAAGAGAAGAGAUGGCUAUUUAUUCUCCCAGCUCCUUCCCUGAAAAAUUACAUCCCCUUUCAAGAGGGAAAAACAGCUGCUAUGUGAGGAAGUUCACUUAUUGUCCUUGAGAGAGUGGCCACAUGGAGAGAAAAAACCUCUGAUGCAUGAGACACUAUGGAGGGAUGUAGAAAGAAGCCCAGCCAGCCCCUGAACUACAGGAGUUUUCUUGCACAAGCUCUCCUCUCUUGUCUGCUGCCAUGUGAGAUGUGCCUUUCACCUUCUACCAGGAUUGUGAGGCCACCCCAGCCACGUGGAACGGUAAGUCCAUUGAACUUCUUUCUUUUGUUGCAAAUUGCCCAGUCUUGGGUAUGUCUUUAUCAGCAGCAUGAAAAUGGACUAAUUGGUACCAGUAGAGUGGGGUGCUGUUGAAAAGAUACCCAAAAAUGUGGAAGUGACUUUGGAACUGGGUAACAGGCAGAGGCUGGAACAGUUUGGAGGGCUCAGAAGAAGACAGGAAAAUGUGAGAAAGUUUGGAAGUUCCUAGAGACUUGUUGAAUGGCUUUGCCAAAAAUGCUGAUAGCAAUAUGGACAGGCUGAAGUGGUCUCAGAUGGAAAUGAGGAACUUGUUAGGAACGAGAGCAAAGGUGACUCUUGUUAUGUUUUAGCAAAGAGACUGGUGGCAUUUUGCCCCUGCCCUAGAGAGUUGUGAAACUUUGAACUUGAGAGAGAUGAUUUAGGGUAUCUGGCAGAAGAAAUUUCUAAGCAGCAAAGCAUUUAAAAGGUGACUUGUGUGCUGUUGAAGGCAUUCAGUUUUAUAAGGGAAGCAGCGCAUAAAAGUUCAGAAAAUUUGUAGCCUGACAAUUCGAUAGACAAGAAAACCCCAUUUUCUGAGGAGAAAUUCAAGCUGGCUGCAGAAAUUUGCAUAACUAACUAGGAGCCAAAUGUUAAUCCCCAAGACAAUGGGGAAAAUGUCUCCAAUGUGUCAAAGGUCUUCAUGGCAGCCCCUCCCAUCACAGACAUGGAGGCCUAGGAGGAAUAAGUGGUUUCGUGGGCAGGUCCCAAGGUACCUGUGCUGUGUCCAGCCUAGGCUGUGGCUUCAGAGGGUGCAAGCCUCAAGCCCUGGCAGCUUCCAUGUGGUGUUGAGCCUGCCAGUGCAAAGAAGUCAAGAAUUGGGGUUUGGGAGCCUCCGCCUGGAUUCCAGAGGAUGUAUGGAAACACCUGGAUGUCCAGGCAGAAGUUUGCUGCAGGGGCAGGGAUCUCAUGGGGAACUUCUUCUAGGGCAGUGCAGGAGGGAAAUGUGUGGUUGGAGCCCCCACACAGAGUUCCUACUGGGGCAACACCUAGUUGGGCUGUGAGAAGAAAGCCACCAUCCUCCAGACCCCAGAAUGAUAGAUCCAUCGAUCACUUGUACCGUGCACCUGGAAAAGCCACAGACACUCAAUGCCUGCCACGACAGCAGCCAGGAGAGGGGUUAUACCUUGCAAAGCCACAGAGGCUGAGCUGCCCAAGACCAUGGGAAACUACUUCUUUCAUCAGUGUGACCUGGAUGUGAGAUUUGAAGUCAAAGAAGAUCAUUUUGGAGCUUUAAGAUUUGACUGACCCACUGGAUUUUGGACAUGCAUGGGGCCUAUAGCCCCUUUGUUUUGACCAAUUUCUCUCAUUUGGAAUGGCAGUAUUUACCUAAUGCCUAUACCCCCAUUGUAUCUAGGAAGUAACUAACUUGCUUUUGAUUUUACAGGCUCAUAGGUGGAAGGGACUUGCUUUAUCUUAGAUGAAACUUUGGACUAUGGACUUUUGAGUUAAUGCUGAAAUGAGUUAAGACUUUGGGGGACUGUUGGGAAGGCAUGAUUGGUUUUGAAAUGUGAGGACAUGAGAUUUGGGAGGGGCCAGGGGCAGAAUGUUAUGGUUUGGCUGUGUCCCUACCAAAAUUUCAUCUUGAAUUGUAACUCCCAUAAUUCCCAUGUCUCGUGGGAGGAACCUGGUGGGAGGUAAUUGAGUUAUGAGGGCGGGCCUUUCUUGUGCUGUUCUCGUGAUAGUGAAUAAGUCUCAUGAGAUCUGAUGGUUUUAAAAAUGGGAGUUUCCCUGCACAAGCUCUCUUCUCUUGUCUGCCACCAUGUGAAUCGUGCCUUUCACCUUCCACCAUGAUUGUGAGGCCUCCCCAGCCACAUGGAACUGUAAGUCCAUUAAACCUCUUUUUUUGAUUACAAAUUGCCCAGUCUUGAGUGUGUCUUUAUAGCUGCAUGAAAACAGACUAAUACAGCCU